UCGGAAUUGGUAUGAAUAAGUUAUGGUUUACAGAAGUUUAUUUCUAUGUUGAAGUUUUCGGGAAUUUGUAAUGGGCAAAAUUGACUUUUCACAAGUUUGGUAUUUAGAGAAAUUAACCCGAGCAGCCCCUAAUUUUCUCCUCUCUCGCUCCGCCGCACGACCUCUCUCUCUCUCUUCCCCUCCCCCCUCUUUCUCUCCUUCCUCUUGCCUUCUCUGUUACCACCGGAAAAGACCACCUCCGGCCAUCAGUUCACAAAAUCGCGACCACCAGUUGACGCUCCACCUAAACCAGAGCCCAGCACAGCCAUGCAUCGCCUCUGGCCUCUGCAUGCGUCCCUCAAAGCCAUCACGGUGCUGCUCUCCAGUCUUCAUCGAUUUCUGAUGACUCCUCACCACACCACCACCAUUAGAGAGCUCAGAGAAAGCCAGUUAUUAAAGCCCAGAAGUCUCGCUGCCAACCCAAUAUUAGAGAACCCCGUGCGCGCCAUCUCCGGAGACGCCGAGACUCUGCUUCUUCAUUCUCCAACCUCCAAUCUGAAUUGGGUCAAACCACUACCAUGAAUGGAAUCAGCACCUCUCAAUUGACCAAAACCCUCUUAUUCCAGCCUCUGUUUCCGACCAGAAACACCGCACGCGUCGCCGCUGACGCGUGGCCACCGUAGCUCCUCCGCCGCGAGUGUCGCGGGUCUCCUUCUUCUGUCCAGUAAGCUACUUUUCGUCACCCGUUAUUAGUUGAAGUCUCUGCCUUGAAUUUGAAUGGAGAACCCUAAUUUGAUUUCUUUCUUUGGGUUAUUGUGAGGUUAUGUGGGAUUUACGAUUGGGAUUUGGAAAGGAUGAGCUAAGAAUAGUCACGUUUUUGGUGGAUUCACAGUUAAAGGAGAAGAGUUCAAUGGCUCUAUGAAGCCGAACUUGGUGAUAAAGGAAUUUCGUGCGAGGAGUUCAAUUUCGUGGUUGAGUGUUUGAGACGAGCGACCAUAGCUUUGGUUGUCUCUGGAUGCUAUAAUUGCUUCAGAAACAAGAUUGUUGUUGGAAGUGGAAGCGGAGGUUCGAACCCUCCUUCUAGCGCCAAAUGUUUCAGCUGUCUCGAGAAGGGUUAGAUCCAAUUUAACCAUGAGAUGUCUUAGUCUGAUACUAUCGCUAUCGGUCUCGCUUAUCUGUAAGACAAACGAAGGUCAGAGGGAAGACCGGGUGUGCCGGCCUUCAACGCUCUGAUGCCUAAGUCAGUAUCGUUGUAAGAUAAUGAUAAUGAAAAGUGAUAGUAAACAACCUCUUUGGGUCGUUGGAGAUGUUCCUAAUGUAGCAGAUUUAUGGGAGCUUGGUCCCGUUUCUUUCGGUGUGGGACGUUUGGGGUUCCCGAUAUCGCCCCGAGGGGUAUCGAGACCCUCAGCUGGGAGCUUUCUUUACUUCUGUAUUGGCGAUACGAAUCUUGUGCUUCCAAUACUUGUGCUUGGGAGGUAUAUGCAUACCAACAAUUCUGACUUUGAAUAGUGUUUUGGUAGAUGUGUUACUUGACGUGGUCGGUUAUGUAACCGACAUUUGAGACAUUACUGAGCAGUUGUUGGAGAUUACUUGAAAAUCGUAGGACUGGUCAUCUUGGGUCAUUGACCUAACCAUGACAUUUGGAUUUAGUUUUGUUCGUAGUGGAAGAAAUUGAUUCCAGGUAAAUUGAGUUAUAAUUUUGUCUUA